AGCAGCAACUCAUAUGGACAGUCUGUUUCAACUGUAUCAGAUACCAAAAAGACUUUUCAGUAUCCUCCUAGCAAGCCCUACCCACCUGAACGUACAUCAAUCACAUCGCAACUUGCCAACUCUCACUAUAAGCAUAUUCAGAGCACUCAAUAUGGCAGCAAAGUACAGACCCAGAGUUCACAACCUCAAAGUGGAAUCCGUAUUACCAUCCAG